GUGAGGAAUUUUGCGCAAUGGGGGCAACCCUGACGCAGCGACGCCGCGUGGAGGACGAAGUCUUUCGGGAUGUAAACUCCUGUCAGUGGGGACGAUAAUGACGGUACCCACAGAGGAAGCACCGGCUAACUCCGUGCCAGCAGCCGCGGUAAGACGGAGGGUGCAAGCGUUGUUCGGAAUUACUGGGCGUAAAGCGUAUGUAGGCGGCAAGUUAAGUUCAAUGUUAAAGCCCACGGCUCAACCGAGGAGAUGCAUUGAAUACUGGCUAGCUAGAGGGUGUUAGAGGAAGACGGAAUUCCCAGUGUAGCGGUGAAAUGCGUAGAUAUUGGGAGGAACAUCGGUAGCGAAAGCGGUCUUCUGGGACAUACCUGACGCUGAGGUACGAAAGCGUGGGGAGCAAACAGGAUUAGAAACCCGUGUAGUCC
rnacentral:rRNA from 1 species